rnacentral:rRNA from 1 species
AUUGAACGCUGGCGGCAGGCCUAACACAUGCAAGUCGAGCGGAUGAAGGGAGCUUGCUCCUGGAUUCAGCGGCGGACGGGUGAGUAAUGCCUAGGAAUCUGCCUGGUAGUGGGGGAUAACGUCCGGAAACGGACGCUAAUACCGCAUACGUCCUGAGGGAGAAAGUGGGGGAUCUUCGGACCUCACGCUAUCAGAUGAGCCUAGGUCGGAUUAGCUAGUUGGUGGGGUAAAGGCCUACCAAGGCGACGAUCCGUAACUGGUCUGAGAGGAUGAUCAGUCACACUGGAACUGAGACACGGUCCAGACUCCUACGGGAGGCAGCAGUGGGGAAUAUUGGACAAUGGGCGAAAGCCUGAUCCAGCCAUGCCGCGUGUGUGAAGAAGGUCUUCGGAUUGUAAAGCACUUUAAGUUGGGAGGAAGGGCAGUAAGUUAAUACCUUGCUGCUUUGACGUUACCAACAGAAUAAGCACCGGCUAACUUCGUG